rnacentral:rRNA from 1 species
UACGUAGGUGGCAAGCGUUGUCCGGAAUUAUUGGGCGUAAAGCGCGCGCAGGCGGUUCCUUAAGUCUGAUGUGAAAGCCCACGGCUCAACCGUGGAGGGUCAUUGGAAAAUGGGGAACUUGAGUGCAGGAGAGAAGAGUGGAAUUCCACGUGUAGCGGUGAAAUGCGUAGAGAUGUGGAGGAACACCAGUGGCGAAGGCGACUCUUUGGCCUGUAACUGACGCUGAGGCGCGAAAGCGUGGGGAGCAAACAGG